CCGCGGGCUCCGGGCACCUGGGCAGGGCUUGGCUUUGCCUGCUGUGCCCGGCCUGGCGGGCAGCCACGCGCCAGGCUGAUCGCUGAGCUGAGGAAUGUAACUUGGCGAUCAGAAAUCCCCGCUGGAAUUUUCCCUUGAGAUAAGCAGGGGUGAAGGUUCCUGCAAGGCAAGGCAGACUCACGCCGAGUGCAGCCCCGGCUGAUGCCAGCAGGAACAGGGGCCCUCGUUCCUGCAACCACGAGGGAGUGAAUUCUGCCAACAGCCACGUGAGCUUGGAAGAGCACCCCGAACUCCAGAAAGACCCCAGCCUGACCGACACCAGCCUUACCGGAGCCCGAGCAGUGGACCCAGGUAACUACACAGGCGCUGGCCCCUGUCCGCCCGGAGCUCACCAGAGGUGCUGUGUUAGCUUUGCCCUAGGCUGUGGUGGGAGCCACUGUGAACAUGGGGUUCUCUUCUCUGAGCUCCGGAAGCUCCGUGCCCUGCCCCCACCACAAGUCGCAGACUUUCUUAAUCUUGUUUCAUUUCAUAUUAAUGAACCCAACUUUUCCCAGGAGCCCCUGCCUUAUGGAAAAUCGAGAGGAUUUGAAACUUUAGUCCAAUCCAGUAGACUUGCUGUGCUACAGUAACACAAAGGAACUUCAGCCCUGCAGGAAGGGGGUGCUUCCAGACCACGGCGGAGCAGACCCUCUGUGCCAGAGGAGAAAAAGCACAUUGCCCC
rnacentral:lncRNA from 1 species